GAGUUUGAUCCUGGCUCAGGAUGAACGCUGGCGGCGUGCUUAACACAUGCAAGUCGAACGAAGCACUCUUUUAGAUUUCCUUCGGGGAAGAAGAAAUUGUGACUGAGUGGCGGACGGGUGAGUAACGCGUGGGCAACCUGCCCCAUACAGGGGGAUAACAGCCGGAAACGGCUGCUAAAACCGCAUAAGCGCACAAGGGCCGCAUGGCCUGGUGUGAAAAACUCCGGUGGUAUGGGAUGGGCCCGCGUCUGAUUAGCUAGUUGGCGGGGGAGAGGCCCACCAAGGCGACGAUCAGUAGCCGACCUGAGAGGGUGGCCGGCCACAUUGGGACUGAGACACGGCCCAAACUCCUACGGGAGGCAGCAGUGGGGAAUAUUGCACAAUGGGGGAAACCCUGAUGCAGCGACGCCGCGUGAGCGAAGAAGUAUUUCGGUAUGUAAAGCUCUAUCAGCAGGGAAGAAAAAUGACGGUACCUGAGUAAGAAGCACCGGCUAAAUACGUGCCAGCAGCCGCGGUAAUACGUAUGGUGCAAGCGUUAUCCGGAUUUACUGGGUGUAAAGGGAGCGCAGGCGGUGCGGCAAGUCUGAUGUGAAAGCCCGGGGCUCAACCCCGGGACUGCAUUGGAAACUACCGAACUAGAGUGUCGGAGAGGUAAGUGGAAUUCCUAGUGUAGCGGUGAAAUGCGUAGAUAUUAGGAGGAACACCAGUGGCGAAGGCGGCUUACUGGA
rnacentral:rRNA from 1 species